rnacentral:rRNA from 1 species
UGCGCAGGCGGCCUGGUAAGUCAGGGGUGAAAUAUGACGGCUCAACCGUCAAACUGCCUCUGAAACUGUCAGGCUUGAGUCCGGGAGAGGAUGGUGGAAUUCCUGGUGUAGCGGUGAAAUGCGUAAAUAUCAGGAGGAACACCAAUGGCGAAGGCAGCCAUCUGGCCCGGUACUGACGCUCAGGCACGAAAGCUAGGGGAGCGAACAGGAUUAGAUACCCUGGUAGUCC